UUUUGGCGAGUAGAGUGGCGCACGGGUGAGUAACGCGUGGGUAAUCUGCCUUCGAACCGGGGAUAACACUUCGAAAGGGGUGCUAAUACCGGAUGACAUCCAGGUGUCUUCGGGCGCCUGGAUCAAAGAUGGCCUCUCCAUGGAAGCUGUUGUUCGAAGAUGAGCCCGCGUCCCAUUAGCUUGUUGGUGGGGUAAAGGCCCACCAAGGCGACGAUGGGUAGCUGGUCUGAGAGGAUGAUCAGCCACACUGGCACUGACACACGGGCCAGACUCCUACGGGAGGCAGCAGUGAGGAAUUUUGCGCAAUGGGGGUAACCCUGACGCAGCAACGCCGCGUGAGUGAAGAAGGCCUUCGGGUCGUAAAGCUCUGUCGAGUGGGAAGAACCCGCAUCAGGUGACAAGGCUGAUGCGCUGACGGUACCACUGGAGGAAGCACCGGCUAACUCCGUGCCAGCAGCCGCGGUAAUACGGAGGGUGCAAGCGUUAUUCGGAAUUACUGGGCGUAAAGGGCGCGCAGGCGGCCUGGUAAGUCAGUAGUGAAAGCCCGGGGCUCAACCCCGGAAGUGCUGCUGAAACUGUUGGGCUUGAGUAUGGUAGAGGGAAGCGGAAUUCCUUGGUGUAGCGGUGAAAUGCGUAGAUAUCAGGAGGAACACCGGUGGCGAA
rnacentral:rRNA from 1 species